AGUAGUGAAGUAAAAAUUACACUUAGCUUCGACCUAAGAUUAGAGAAUAAUUCUCCUUACUU
rnacentral:tRNA from 1 species